rnacentral:tRNA from 1 species
GUCAGGAUGGCCGAGCGGUCCAAGGCGCUGCGUUCAGGUCGCAGUCCGGUCUCCGGGCGUGGGUUCGAAUCCCACUUCUGACA